rnacentral:rRNA from 1 species
GAUGAACGCUGGCGGCGUGCCUAAUACAUGCAAGUCGAGCGAACAGAUGCGGCUCUUGCUCCUCUGACGUUAGCGGCGGACGGGUGAGUAACACGUGUAUACCCUACCUAUAAGACUGGUAUAACUUCGGGAAACCGGAGCUAAUACCGGAUAAUAUCUUGAACCGCAGGGUGCAAUGGUGAAAGUCGGUUUUGCUGUCACUUAUAGAUGGAUCCGGGCUGCAUGAGCUAGUUGGUAAGUUAACGGCCUACCAAGGCAACGAUGCGUAGACGACCUGAGAGGGUGAUCGGCCACACUGGAGCGGGGACACGGUCCAGACGACUACGGGAGGGAGCAGUAGGGAACCUGCCGCAAUGGGCGAAAGCCUGACGGAGCAGGGCCGCGCGAGUGACGAAGGUCUUCGGAGCGUAAAACUCUGUUAUUAGGGAAGAACAAAUGUGUAAGUAACUGUGCACGUCUUGACGGUACCUAAUCAGAAAGCAACGGCUAACUACGUG